GGGGGAUUACAUUUUAAAGAAACAUGUGUGUGUGUGUGUGUUAGUGUUAGAUUGUGUGUGUGUGUGUGUGUGUAUGUGUUAGUUUUUGUGUCAGUGUGUCUGUUAUUGAUUGUGUGUCUGCUAGUGUCAGUGUGUGUGUUAGUUUGUGUGUCAGUGAGUGUGUGUGUGUGUCAGUGAGUGUGUUACUGUGUGUGUCUGUUACCGAGUGUGUUAGUUUCUGUGUGUCUGUUAGUGAGUCUGUUUGAUGUCUGUCAGUGAGAGUGUAUGUGUGUGUGUCUGUCAGUGAGAGUGUAUGUAUGUCGCUGA